rnacentral:rRNA from 1 species
CCUACGGGAGACAGCAGUGAGGAAUAUUGGUCAAUGGACGCAAGUCUGAACCAGCCAUGCCGCGUGCAGGAAGACGGCUCUAUGAGUUGUAAACUGCUUUUGUACGGGAGUAAACGCAGAUACGCGUGUCUGUCUGAAAGUAUCGUACGAAUAAGGAUCGGCUAACUCCGUGCCAGCAGCCGCGGUAAUACGGAGGAUUCAAGCGUUAUCCGGAUUUAUUGGGUUUAAAGGGUCCGUAGGGGGUGGGAUAAGUUAGAGGUGAAAUCCCGCGGCUCAACUUCGGAAUUGCCUUUGAUACUGUUCGGCUAGAGAGUAGUUGCGGUAGGCGGAAUGUAUGGUGUAGCGGUGAAAUGCUUAGAGAUCAUACAGAACACCGAUUGCGAAGGCAGCUUACCAAGCUACUUCUGACGUUGAGGCACGAAAGCGUGGGGAUCAAACAGGAUUAGAUACCCUUGUAGUC